GCGCGAGUAGCUCAAUUGGUAGAGCACCGGCCUUCUAAGCCGAUGGUUGCGGGUUCGAGCCCCGUCUCGCGUG
rfam:Conexibacter woesei DSM 14684, complete genome.